CUAAACAAAACACGAUCCAAAAAAACAAAUCGGAAUUUAAUUUUAUCAGCACUCUUUCCCUACUAGCAGCGCUCAUUUCCGUGUUCCCAUCGACCACCACGUUGUCAUUGGCGUUUUCUCUGUUUCUUUAUCAUCUCGUCCUCUUAUCUCUCUCACUAUUCCACCUUAACUACCUUCUCUAACUUCCUUCUUCUUCUUCUUCAUCAAUGGCGCCAAUCCAACUACUCGAAUCCCUAAUUUCACUUUAAUUCCUUUCAAUUUCCCCAAAAAUCAACCAUGUUUUCUGCAAAUCUAAGCACAUCUCCUUCCUUAAUCACUCCCAAAACUUCUACUUCUACUUCAAUUUCAAAACCCUACUUUCUCUCUCCUCGUUCUCUCACAAUCCAAUCACGUGCCCCCGAUUUCUCUGCUGCUUCUUCUUCGUCUUCUUCUCCUGAUUGGUUUCAAUUUCCCGACAUUUCUGGACCUCGGAUUCCCCGAGAAAACGACGCCGUUUCAGGGGGUAACAGCAGCAGCAGAGAUAGCGAUGAUUCUAUGUUGAAUGGGAAGAGAGAGAAGAAAUGGUCGAGAAAUAGAGAGAGUUAUCUAAGGGAUGAUUCUGAGCCUCUUCCUCUUCCUAUGACUUUUUCCGAUAUUACCCCUACUUCUCUUGAGGAAAUCGAUCGUCGUCUUCGUUGUGAUCCUCAACUUGAGGAUUGUAAAGUGCCUGUUUUUGAGUGGGUGGGGAAGUGUCGAAGUUGCCAAGGAUCAGGGUAUGUCAACUACUACAACAAACGAGGGAAGACUACUUGCAAAUGCAUACCAUGUAUGGGAGUUGGAUAUGUUCAAAAGAUAUCAGCCCGGAAGGAGUUUGAAUCGAUGGAGGAUUAAAAGCCACCUUGAUCUCAGUAGAAACUUGUUAGUUCUUCUAGCUUCAAUGUCUCUUCCUCUUGCUGUUUACUCAGUCUUCAGUUUGUAUUGCUGGAUUGUUCUUUGAUGCGUUCAUAAUUCAACCCUAUGUGACAUUGGAGACUAAAGCUGAAACAAAAUCAGUAUAUACUAUAUAGCUGCUUUCAAAGGCUGAUUGAUGGUUGAGAUUUUUUGUGUUUAUGUUGAUCCACAAUUACAUAUACAUUUACCUCUUCAACAUGUCCGUUCUUUCUUUUCCCCUUUUGGGAGAAAGUAACUGGUAAUUCAAGGAAGCAGUAUUUUGGCGGUCUCAUCUAGUCAUCUCUAGACCAGGGUGUGGUUUGGGAAAGUCUAUACGAAUUUCACUAUGUUAUAAUGUUAUGUACUUGUUACACUUCAUUUAUCAAGAAGAUUGACACUUUGACUUGUA